UUGAGGGCCAGAACUGGGGACACUGCCUGAUCCCAGGGAUGAAAGAGUCAAUAACAAACACAAUGAGAUUUCCAAAGUGGGCAACCAGCUACAUGCUGGAGCCAUUCACCGAUUUGGGAGGCAUCAGGUAAGAACAAGAUGUGGCUAAAGGUGGAAGGGAGAUUGUGAAUUCAUUUGGAGUUUGUUGGUGCCAUUCCAAAUCAGAGGCACAGUUGGAUAGGCCAUGGGGGCCUGAAAAGUACCAGCUCUCCUGUGGGUCUCUAAGUUGUAGGUAGAGAAAUGGGGAAAUAAUACAUUCAUUCCUUGGAACCUUAUCUGGGAGCAUGUCUGAUUGUUGCACAACACCAGAUGUGGAGAGGGGAAACGCCACAGCUUGGGGAACACUUUCCAGGACAGACAGACAGACAGACAGACAGACAGAAAGCACAGUUCAAGUUCCGCUGUCUGCAAGCUGAGUGGUCAAGGAAUCUGCAGCAAAAAUCACACACUUGGUGCCAGAAGCCACAGGUCUUCGUUGUCAAGUUCUCCACGGUGCUGUUGAGGAGUAUCUGCCACCAGAGACGCCAAGGUGAAUUCAUGAGGCCUUUCUUGGAUUCAGAUGUCAGCUACUGACACAUUUGAUGGGUUAUGUAAAUAAUACUGAACUAAAGAAAGACAUAAACAUGAAAAGAUGAUCAUCGCUGUUGUUCUUCUGGGCAAUGUCUAGCAAGAGGCCCUUCGACCAUCCUUCCUUUCCCGUUCCCAGACACCCGGGAAGGUCCGGGUAUGUUCCGGCAGCUCAUCAGCACUGCACAGCCGGGUUCUCUUCAGGUCUUCAUCACAAGGCUUAGUUCGUGGUUCAGACUCUCCAGGACCCUUCACAGCACUGCCCUGUCAUACCUUCUAGCCCUCCUCAUUCUGGGCAUUCACAAUCACAGGUCCAGGCAUUGAUUCUGUGCCUGGUGCAGCAGCUCUGGCCUGGUGCCAGGCAAACAGCCUCAUCCCCAGCUCACUCUCCAACCCCUUCCAAGCGCUGUCCACCUCCCAGCUGAACAUUUUCUGUGGCUGCUCAUCCACAGCUGGGAGCUUUGAUAUCACCACUCCUGUACCACGGUUCCUAGCAGAGUGGUCACGGUGCUUGUCCCAGUGCAGCUCCCGCCCACAUCCUCCAUUCUUUGAGGGGGUCCCAAGUUUCACUUCCUGGAGCACAAUAUACAAGCAACAGGGACUCAUCUGCACCAUUUCCUGCCAUGCCUCGUGCCCAGAAGAGACAUCAGCACAAAUACACGGCUGAGAGGACGGAAGCAUCCUUUACUUCUGCAUGUGGCGCAGUUCUGUAUUUUGUGCAUAACUGAUCCUUAAUAAACAUUUGUUGAAUCAAAAUUACCCAAUAAAGCGUUGUUUGGCUCA
rnacentral:lncRNA from 1 species